CCACAGUUUAACAGACAUAGAUGCACAACUGUUUUGCUGAAUGUUGCCAUUAGGUGGCAGCAAAUACUACGUCAGCGGCAGACAAUCUUUCCAUGAACACAUGAAGCUAUCUACAGUUACAUAAUGUUACAGUUCUCCUUUUUUUAUGUUUUUAUCUCCUUUCCAUGGUAGUAGAUAUUGUGCCAACUUUAUAUGAUGGCGAUAGUGUUGUUAUCGUUUGUAUUUUUGAGAUUUUCCACUUCGAUGCAGGAUAAUAAAGCAAUUAAAUGUUUGACACGA